AGGUUUGAAGAGGAAAGGGGAUCAUUUCAGGAUUCAAAGGGCAAUGUGCUUUUCUUUGUCUCAGAUCUUUUCAAUCCUGUACUCUUAUUCCAUCUAUUUCUUGUAGAGUUAAGCUAUGACCAUCAGGUGCUUCUUGAUUACCUUAUUUCAAAAGAUACUGGAACCAGUUGUGCAGAAUAUCUUUUAAGGUGCUUGCGUAAAGUGUGUGAUUCAUGGAGCUUAUUUGUGGAAUUUCCACCGAGAUGCUCAAUUGUGUAGAAGAUGCUUAGAUUUGUUAAUAUUGCUUACAUGAGAUGCUCAAUUGUAUUUCCCUAAGCUCGGAUUGAUAGGGUUGCCAGGUUCAUAUAUAUCCUUGUUGUGUUAUGGGGGGUCAACCUGCCGAGCCAUUUGCUACCUGGAGAAGAAGUUUAUUUAUGUGUUUUUGAAAUUCAUAGUGAAAGCAAUAUUAAAUUUUAUUGUGCAAAACUUUUGAAUCUACCUCAAGCUCUAAUUUUGUAUAGAAAUUAAUACAAUUCCCUAAUAUUUAAAAUACAUUUGAAUUUCA